UAUUGUCGUUUUUUAAUGGACUCAUACUUUGGCAUUCGGCUGACACCUGUGGAAUCCAAAGCCAAAAAAGCACCCCGAAUGUGGCUGCAAGUAGAAGAAAAAAGAAGAAAAUACGAGAAAUGUGGAGGAGCUAAAAAAAAAUUUCACUGUAGUAGUGAAUAGUGCAGUUCUUUGUAGAAAAUGAAUGAUCAAGAUUUUGAAGAUACAUUUCUGAAAUUUGUUUGAAAAAAAAGAAAACAA